CCUACGGGUGGCUGCAGUGAGGAAUAUUGGUCAAUGGCCGCAAGUCUGAACCAGCCAAGCCGCGUGCGGGAAGAAGGCGCUGAGCGUCUCAGACUGCUUUUGCAGGAGGGCAAAAGGCCGUACUCGUCUCUUCCUGAGAGUAUCCUACGAAUACGGAUCGGCUAACUCCGUGUCAGCAGCCGCGGUAAUACGGAGGAUGCAAGCGUUAUCCGGAUUUAUUGGGUUUAAAGGGUGCGCAGGCGGGCCUAUAAGGUAGCGGGGAAAUCCCCGGGGUCAACCUCGGAGUUGCCUGCGAAACUGGGGGGCUAGAGUGCGGCGGCGGUAUGCGGAAUGUAUGGUGUAGCGGUGAAAUGCGUAGAUAUCACGCAGAACACCGAUUGCGAAGGCAGCGUGCCGUGCCGCCACUGACGCUGAGGCACGAAAGCGUGGGGAGCAAACAGGAUUAGAUACCCGGGUAGUC
rnacentral:rRNA from 1 species